GCGGCUGUAACGUGUCUACUGACACGCAAGCCCUGGACACUCUGUCCCUUCCCCUUUCCCAAACCUUCACUAGUUCAAGAAUCUCCAGAAGGGAAUGGAGGAGAGAAGAAGAGGGACAGGGAAAGCCAGAGCUAGGCAGAUAUGUGGCAGCUCAGCAAUCACAAGGCGGAAUUAAAGAGGGUUUUCACCGGGGCGUGAGUAGGAAGUAGACAUUUAACUCACCUCCAUGAAAACCAAGAUAAAAGACAGAGGAGCAACAUGUUUAGGCGCUGUGGUGCUGAGAUGUGGCUGAAGGACAAGACGGAACAACCAGCGGCAUUGGCGUGCAAAACUGUAAGGCUGAAGAAAAUGGCAAAGGACCACACUUCUGUAUGGAGGGACUCCAGGCUCCUGCGAGCCCAUCUACUGUAACACUAACAUUCCCUGUCCGCAGCAAGUCUCAAAACUUUCCUCUAGCACGGAAAUAACGCAGUCAUCCGUGCUAUACAGUCACGGGAUACAUAACGCUAUCACUCCGUGUGAAGUCGAAUUUUGCAAUCCCCAUUUCACCAAACUGUGAAAUGGGCCACCGCAGGUUUAAGUAAUUUGCUCACAGAAUUUGGAAAUCAUACAGCAUGGUCCGCAUCAGUCGCCAGAACCCCCCGUUGGAGUCCAUCAGACCAAACUGCACUGAAUAGAGAGAGCUCUGUGCUUCCCAAAGCAGAGAUUUACAAGUCCGGACUUGCUCGGGUUUGGCGAUCUAAGAUCCCAGCGCAGCCCUGGUACCCUCUAGUGGAA
rnacentral:lncRNA from 1 species